rnacentral:rRNA from 1 species
GAUGAACGCUAGCGGCAGGCCUAAUACAUGCAAGUCGAACGGUGUAGCAAUACACAGUGGCGCACGGGUGCGUAACACGUAUGCAACCUACCUUACAUUGGGGGAUAGCCUUUCGAAAGGGAGAUUAAUACCGCAUAAGACAGUAACUGGGCAUCUAGUAGCUGUUAAAGAUUUAUCGAUGUAAGCUGGGCAUGCGUCCAAUUAGUUAGUUGGUGAGGUAACGGCUCACCAAGACGAUGAUUGGUAGGGGAACUGAGAGGUCAAUCCCCCACACUGGGACUGAGACACGGCCCAGACUCCUACGGGAGGCAGCAGUGGGGAAUUUUGGACAAUGGGGGCAACCCUGAUCCAGCAAUGCCGCGUGCAGGAAGAAGGCCUUCGGGUUGUAAACUGCUUUUAUACGGAACGAAACGGUCUGGGUUAAUACCCUGGGCUAAUGACGGUACCGUAAGAAUAAGCACCGGCUAACUACGUGCCAGCAGCCGCAGUAACAC